GAGCGAGAGAUUCCUCGAUGUCUAGGGCGUAUUUGCGUGUCCUGGUGCUAUUGUUAAAUUGAAGUUAAUGGCAAACAAAAAGAAAAUAAUCCAUAGCCUUAACAGUUUGUUGUUUUUUAAAGUUUGGUUUUGGCUGAGGUUAAAACAAUUUACAACAAACAAAUGCCAUCCCAGAGGCACGUAUUAUAAACAGCCUACAAUCACUAAGUAGCUAGUAAGUUAACGACCUUGAAGCUAAUUAUACAUUAAAUAACCUAAAUUACAGCUAAAUUGUGUAAAGUUUGCCCAGCCAUUAAACCACAUAAGCUUUUCCUGUGUACAUUAUGCAGUGGGCAGCUCCUUCUCAUCAAAUGCAAGAGAUUAGCUCGCCAGUUCAUCUGUAAUAUUUGGCGACUUUGCGGGAGAAGAUUUACGCUACUUGACCCUGGAGAAUUUUUUCAACGGUUUUGCAAAGAGGGUGCGGAAAAACCCGACAAGCUUCAUGUAAACUGUUGAAGCUGCAUUUCAGCGAGGAUUUGCUCUCGUUUGUAACUGUCGGAGAUUUUUGUUCCAAAUACAAAGCUAGCGUCAAGUCUUGCUAAAUAACAGCUUAAGAAACAGAAGGAGAACAAUCUGCUUCGCUUGUAUGGAAAUCGCGGAUUUCCGUAGUAGCAUAAAGUUGGACCCUCAGAAAACAACCUCACGGAAUUGCUUUCUAGGAAAUUAGUAUUUAGUAUUUACUGCUGAAGCAAGUUUCUGUAGUAUUGAAUGCUUUUCCACAAUAAUGCGAGAAUAUUGACGAANUGAAGUGAACUCUCUGAGGUGAUCGAUCGGGCGAUGUUUGUCAUCCAUCAAAUAUUCACUUCACAAAUACCAAUGCUGAAAGGUUCUUCAAAUUAUUCUUCAAAUUACACAAGAAUCUUCAUUACCGACAAUUAGUUUAUUUUAUAGACAUCGGGAACAAGAAUGUACAACUAGUUGAUGACACUCGAUCCAGUAUUACUCUCUCUUUCUCUCUUCCUGCCCGACUUCAUUUGUUGUGAUCGCUCUCAUGCUGGGUGGGUCAUUGAUGCGCUUUACAUAGCGCUGCGGCCAAAACCGUAAACAUCAUUCAUCGGUGAAUCCACAAAGAAAAAAUCCUAUCGCAAACGAGUGAGUGCUCAUGAACGUAUGAAUUUGCCAUGUAAAGUCUUAAAGGCUGAGACGUUGGUCAGAAUUAGAAUGUCUCGUCGAAAUACCGAGGAGAAGGAACCCUAAAGGCGCCGACCACCAACUGCCAUCACUCUCCAGCUCGCCCUAUUCAUCCAUCGCACGAACACAUCAUGUUUCGGCCUCCACAUCACCAAGGGGUCUUACCACACAGCUGUGAACUAUGGAACGCCU
rnacentral:misc_RNA from 1 species